UGUCCUAACUGACUUGACAAAACUACAGUUUGUUAACAAGAAAUGUGUGGAGUGGUUGAAAAACAAGUUUUAAUAACUCCAACAUAAGUGUAUGUAAACUUUGAAAUUCAACUGUACGUACACACACACACACACACACACACACACACACACACACGUGUGUGUGUGAGGAACAAAAUAUUUAAAAACCAGGGCAAAAUGUACAUUUUCCAUCAUUAUUGAAUUUAUUGAAGAAGAAAAUAAGGAGAUAUCAGGAAUAAACAGCAGAGACACAGGACAGUAUAUUCAGGGAGACUCAUGGGAACCCAGGAGCAGUUACACGCUUUUAGUGGUUUCGGUCCGACUGUAGUCUGCCUUCCACAGUGGAUUACAGCUCCUUCAAUACCAGAGUGUUGAAUUAGAAAGACAACUCUCCAUUCUGAUGAAACCACAAAUUAUACAGAGAAAAAAAACUGGACGUUUAACAAUUCUCUCGAUUCAUAAAAUGUCUCAAUUCUGACACAACCAUCUAAAAAGAAAACAGUUAACUGUAGUUUAUUAAAAGUGCCGUUAGCUAAAACAAAUUGCCCCUCAUCAAUGACGACACAGAUAUUGACCAUUUUGAAUACCACAUUCACGCUCAGAUCCAAUAUGGAUCAAAUCAUUCACGCAUUCAUUUCCUGGUCAAAUCAUUCAUUUCCUGGUCAAAUCAUCCCAUUUCCUGGUUUCUCCACAAGACAAAAACUGGCCACAUUUCUGUUUUCCACUAUUGAUCAUUAUAACAGAAUGUGAAGUCACUAAGGCACCACUGAUCAUUAUAACAGAAUGUGAUGUCACCAAGGCACCGCGCUGAUCAUUAUAACAGAAUGUGAUGUCACUAAGGCACCACUGAUCAUUAUAACAGAAUGUGAUGUCACUAAGGCACCGCGCUGAUCAUUAUAACAGAAUGUGAAGUCACCACUGAUCAUUAUAACAGAAUGUGAUGUCACUAAGGCACCGCGCUGAUCAUUAUAACAGAAUGUGAAGUCACCACUGAUCAUUAUAACAGAAUGUGAAGUCACCACUGAUCAUUAUAACAGAAUGUGAUGUCACUAAGGCACCACUGAUCAUUAUAACAGAAUGUGAUGUCACUAAGGCACCGCGCUGAUCAUUAUAACAGAAUGUGAUGUGAUGAUCAUUAUAACAGAAUGUGAAGUCACCACUGAUCAUUAUAACAGAAUGUGAUGUCACUAAGGCACCACUGAUCAUUAUAACAGAAUGAUGUCACUAAGGCACCACUGAUCAUUAUAACAGAAUGUGAUGUCACUAAGGCACCACUGAUCAUUAUAACAGAAUGUGAUGUCACUAAGGCACCACUGAUCAUUAUAACAGAAUGUGAUGUCACUAAGGCACCACUGAUCAUUAUAACAGAAUGAUGUCACUAAGGCACCACUGAUCAUUAUAACAGAAUGUGAUGUCACUAAGGCACCACUGAUCAUUAUAACAGAAUGUGA
ensembl:lncRNA